rnacentral:rRNA from 1 species
UACGGGGGGGGCAAGCGUUGUUCGGAAUUACUGGGCGUAAAGGGCUCGUAGGCGGCCAACUAAGUCCGACGUGAAAUCCCCAGGCUUAACCUGGGAACUGCGUCGGAUACUGGAUGGCUUGAAUUCGGGAGAGGGAUGCAGAAUUCCAGGUGUAGCGGUGAAAUUCGUAGAUAUUCGGAAGAACACCAGUGGCGAAGGCGGCUCACUGGACUGGUAUUGACGCUGAGGUGCGAAAGCGUGGGGAGCAAACAGG